rnacentral:tRNA from 1 species
AGCUUAAUAGUUUAAAUAAAACAUUAAUUUUGUAAAUUAAAAAUAAUUUAAUAAAUUUUUAGCUA